AUAAUAAUAGAGAGGACCCACCUGUACCCAUGCCGAACACAGCAGUUAAGCUCUCUGAUGCAGACGAUAGUCAGCCGGCGACGGCUCGCGAAAAUAUGUCAUUGCCGGAU
rnacentral:rRNA from 1 species